UACGUAGGGUGCGAGCGUUAAUCGGAAUUACUGGGCGUAAAGCGUGCGCAGGCGGUUCGUUAAGUUUGAUGUGAAAGCCCCGGGCUCAACCUGGGAAUUGCAUUGGAAACUGGCGGGCUUGAGUGUGGCAGAGGGGGGUGGAAUUCCACGUGUAGCAGUGAAAUGCGUAGAGAUGUGGAGGAACACCGAUGGCGAAGGCAGCCCCCUGGGCUAACACUGACGCUCAGGCACGAAAGCGUGGGGAGCAAACAGG
rnacentral:rRNA from 1 species